GACAAUCAAUAUUAAAUUUUGUGCGAAUCGAUAGCUAAUUUGUGAAAACUAAGAAUUUUCACCAUUUAUUGCAAUUUUUGGAAAACCAAUUGCUCAAAUUGUUUUCUGGGGUUCUGUGUAUAUGUGAAUUUAACAGACAAUUUGUGUUUUCCGAGCUGCUCUUCCGUGCUGAUUUCAAGUUGGAUUUGCGUUCUGAUUGAAGCCGUACUAAUGGAAGUUUUCGCAUGUUUACGUGGGUGCGCUGAUCGUUGUUUUGCUGUGUUGGAUUUUGCGCCUCUGUACCCAAAACCGCGAUAUUUAAGUAACUGCCAGGGACGUGAACCGGAUGAAAAAUUUGGUCGGUUCGGUACAGUGGUUCGAACCGUUUUUGCACUUUUGGAUUGGUUCGUCAAAGCGGUCUUUUUGGUCUUUGAACCGAGGUUUCGGUUCGGUUCAACGGUUCGAAAAACAAAAAAAUUACGCGGAAGUUUAAGUGUCAAGUGCAACAACGUGCAA